rnacentral:rRNA from 1 species
UUAACCGUAUAGGGGAGCCGCAGGGAAACCGAGUCUUAACCGGGCGUUAAGUUGCAGGGUAUAGACCCGAAACCCGGUGAUCUAGCCAUGGGCAGGUUGAAGGUUGGGUAACACUAACUGGAGGACCGAACCGACUAAUGUUGAAAAAUUAGCGGAUGACCUGUGGCUGGGGGUGAAAGGCCAAUCAAACCGGGAGAUAGCUGGUUCUCCCCGAAAGCUAUUUAGGUAGCGCCUCGUGAAUUCAUCUCCGGGGGUAGAGCA